GAUGAACGCUGGCGGCGUGCUUAACACAUGCAAGUCGAACGGUGAAGCAGGAGCUUGCUCCUGUGGAUCAGUGGCGAACGGGUGAGUAACACGUGAGCAAUCUGCCCUGGACUCUGGGAUAAGCGUUGGAAACGACGUCUAAUACCGGAUACGAGGCGUGGGGGCAUCCCCAACGCCUGGAAAGAACUUCGGUCCAGGAUGAGCUCGCGGCCUAUCAGGUAGUUGGUGGGGUAACGGCUCACCAAGCCGACGACGGGUAGCCGGCCUGGGAGGGUGACCGGCCACGCUGGGACUGAGACACGGCCCAGACUCAUACGGGAGGCAGCAGUGGGGAAUAUUGCACAAUGGGCGCAAGCCUGAUGCAGCAACGCCGCGUGAGGGACGACGGCCUUCGGGUUGUAAACCUCUUUUAGCAGGGAAGAAGCGAAAGUGACGGUACCUGCAGAAAAAGCACCGGCUAACUACGUGCCAGCCGCCGCGGUAACAC
rnacentral:rRNA from 1 species